GAUGAACGCUGGCGGCGUGGAGAAGGCAUGCAAGUCGAACGGCAGCGGGGGAGAAGCUUGCUUUUCCUGCCGGCGAGUGGCGAACGGGUGAGUAAUACAUCGGAACGUGCCCUGUAGUGGGGGAUAACUAGUCGAAAGAUUAGCUAAUACCGCAUACGACCUGAGGGUGAAAGUGGGGGACCGCAAGGCCUCAUGCUAUAGGAGCGGCCGAUGUCUGAUUAGCUAGUUGGUGGGGUAAAGGCCUACCAAGGCGACGAUCAGUAGCUGGUCUGAGAGAGCGAUCAGCCACACUGGGACUGAGGCACGGCCCAGAGUCCUACGGGAGGCAGCGGUGGGGAAUUUUGGACAAUGGGCGAAAGCCUGAUCCAGCAAUGCCGCGUGUGUGAAGAAGGCCUUCGGGUUGUAAAGCACUUUUGUCCGGAAAGAAAUGGCUCUGGUCAAUACCUGGGGUCGAUGACGGUACCGGAAGAAUAAGGGCCGGCUAACUACGUGCCAGCCGCCGCCGUAA
rnacentral:rRNA from 1 species